rnacentral:lncRNA from 1 species
GAAUGCGAAAGAAAAACUUGCCCUUUAUUGAUUAAUCAAUAGUUUAACUACAAAUUUAUGUCGUAGAACAAAAUGUGUUAGUCAACAAUUGGCUUCUAGGACAUACAUCUACAGAUUCUACUCCAGACUACUUGUGGCAUUCUGAUGUGUUGCAACAACGGCUGGAUGAGUAUGAUUGAAAACUAAAGGAGAUUGAUCGUCAUCUUGAAUGGCUCCAAACCAACCAUCG